CGGCGCCACAAGUGGCAGCCGCGUUUAUUGGGCCUAAAGCGUUCGUAGCCGGUUAAGUAAAUCUCUUGUGAAAUUGUCAAGCUCAACUUGACAACGUGCAGGAGACACUGCUUAACUAGGGACCGGGAGGAGUCAGAAGUAUUCCAAGGGGAGCGGUAAAAUGUUAUAAUCCUUGGAAGACUACCUGUGGCGAAGGCGUCUGACCAGAACGGAUCCGACGGUGAGGGACGAAAGCUAGGGGAGCAAAACGGAUUAGAUACCCGAGUAGUCC
rnacentral:rRNA from 1 species